CCCAUUGGUACGCGAGGCUCCGGUGUUUGUGAUCCUUAGAAUGACACGGGAAACGCCAGACCGGGUCGCCGCUCCAGAAACUCUUGAACCUCCACGCCUCCUAACUAGCCAUAGGCUAACACAGGUGUGCGGUUGGAAAGUGUAACAAUCAAAAAUCGGAUUCAAUUGUAGCUUACCACAACAUAAUAUUCAAAUUAAUAAAUGAAUAUAAAUCUUUUAUAUAAAGACAAAAAUACUAGUUAGUUAUUAAAACUUAAAAGUAAAUACAUU